UUUCCAAGAUUUUGGAUCAUCUUUACUAUCAUUACUCUGAAUUCUUUUUCAGGUAGGUUGCCUAUUUCAUCUUCAUUUAUUUGGUCUUGUAGGUUUUUACCUUGCUUCUUCAUCUGUAACAUAUUUUUUUGUCAUUUCAUUUUUUUUUUUUUUGGAUGGGUGGGGGCUGUAUUCCUGUCUUACUGGUUGUUUGGCUUGAGGCGUCCAGCACUGGAACUUACAGGCAGUUGGGUAGAGCUGAGUCUUGGUGAUGAGAUAAGGACCUCUGGGAGGCCUCUCUUCAAUAUUCCCUGGGGUCCGAGGUUCUCUGUUAGUCCAGUGAUUUGCACUCAGUGCUCCCACCACCGGAGCUUGGGCCCAGCCUCUGGCCUGGGAACCAAGAUCCCGCAAGCUGCGUGGCACAGCAAAAAAAGAAAAAAAAUGAGCUGUACAAUAACAAAGAAAAAAAAUAUUAGAAAGAUAAAAAUUAUAUUAGGAAAAAUAAAAAUAUAAUUGAAACAACUGCAACAAGGUAAAACAAAACCACAACAGAAAAAAGAAAAGAAAAAAAAAAGGGGGGGGGAACAGGCCAAAAGGAGCAGAACAAUAACAAAGUAUAAAGAAUAAAAUAAAAUUAGAAAAAUAAAAGAUUUAUUAGAAAAAAUAAAAAUAUAAAUGAAUCAACAACAACAAGGUAAAA